UGUCGAAAAUUUCAGUCGCUGUGCCUUCUUUAUAGACAGUCCCUUUAUUCAUAACGAUAACAUGAU
rfam:Staphylococcus aureus subsp. aureus NCTC 8325, complete genome.